AGGACUUGCGAUUUUGGAUGCGAAAAGCUGGAUUUGGCGACUAGUGCGAGCUAUUUUAAGAAGCAGUAGAAGGACAGAAGUCCACAAUGCCCGGUAGAGGGUAGAAGAAGCAAUGCCAAUGGGAAACUCAAACACAAAUUUCAAUACAAGAAAGCCCUAACCAGGCCCUAACCUAGCGAAACGAUGUUGAAAACAACCCCAAAAUAACUGUUCAAUUCUCAAUGGACGAAGCAACUUACCAUGAUGCAGUAAAUCUAGAUUGAAGACUCGUUUCGUGCAAUUGGCACAACAGGAAACCUCCGAAAAUUUUACUACGAGGAAAAUUGUAAAAGAAGAAACGUGGAUCAGUAUUGCUUAUACAGCCAGGUCAUCAUCUUGGUAGAGUGAGUCUUAGCUUAGUAGAACUCUAGUAGAACUGAACAACCAGUGUCUUAAUGACUAUACCAUUAUGUUUUAGGCAUGCAUGGUACUCCACUUAAAAACAUUUUCUAAAUUUUUUGCAAAUGUGCAUGUGUGUUAAAGUGUAAAUAAAAAGUAUUAAAGAGCUAUACUAUAGAAGCAAUUCCUUUAAUGCGUAGUUGACUUGCUGUACUCAAACAGAAAUGUAAUUGAUCUCAUGUAUUCAAUAUUAUAAUAAUAUAAUAACGAUAUUUGUGCUGCAUUGUUUGUUGACUCGAUCGGUAUUAUAGGUAGAAAUCUUCGAUGGAACGGAAUAUUUCGCUCAAUUU